GAUUAACGCGAAGAACCUUACCAGCCCUUGACAUGUCCCGUAUGAGCACCAGAGACGGAGCUCUUCAGUUCGGCUGGCGGGAACACAGGUGCUGCAUGGCUGUCGUCAGCUCGUGUCGUGAGAUGUUGGGUUAAGUCCCGCAACGAGCGCAACCCUCGCCCUUAGUUGCCAUCAUUUAGUUGGGCACUCUAAGGGGACUGCCGGUGAUAAGCCGGAGGAAGGUGGGGAUGACGUCAAGUCCUCAUGGCCCUUACGGGCUGGGCUACACACGUGCUACAAUGGCGGUGACAGAGGGAUGCGAAGGCGCGAGCCUUGGCUAAUCUCAAAAAGCCGUCUCAGUUCGGAUUGGGGUCUGCAACUCGACCCCAUGAAGCUGGAAUCGCUAGUAAUCGUGGAUCAGCACGCCACGGUGAAUACGUUCCCGGGCCUUGUACACACCGAAUC
rnacentral:rRNA from 1 species